AGAUCAGACAGGACUCUGACAAAGGCAAAACCAGGGGAUGAUGGGAAAACACCACCACUCCAGUUUGAGACAAAGAACAUCAAGGACACAGGCAAGUUACUCUAAUUUAUUAAGAGUAUAAAUAGGAUUAUCUGGACCAGAGUCUUGACAAACAUUGCCCCGU
rnacentral:lncRNA from 1 species